CCUACGGGCGGCAGCAGUGAGGAAUAUUGGUCAAUGGCCGCGAGGCUGAACCAGCCAAGUCGCGUGAGGGAAGACUGCCCUACGGGUUGUAAACCUCUUUUGUCGGGGAGUAAAGUGAACCACGUGUGCCUCUUUGUGUGUACUUUAAGAAAAAGCAUCGGCUAACUCCGUGCCAGCAGCCGCGGUAAUACGGAGGAUGCGAGCGUUAUCCGGAUUUAUUGGGUUUAAAGGGUGCGUAGGUGGGUAGGGAAGUCAGUUGUGAAAGCUGAGGGAUCAACCCUGAGCCUGCAUUUGAUACUGGUAUUCUUGAGUGCUGUAGAGGUAAGCGGAAUGCGGGGUGUAGCGGUGAAAUGCGUAGAUAUACGGAAGAACACCAGUGGCGAAGGCGGAUUACUAAACAGUAACUGACACUGAGGCGCGAAAGCGUGGGUAGCAAACAGGAUUAGAUACCCCUGUAGUC
rnacentral:rRNA from 1 species